UGGGAAGUAGUUUAAUGGUAAAACCUCAGACUCCAAAUCUGAAAGAUGAGUGUUCGAGUCAUUCCUUCUCAG
rnacentral:tRNA from 1 species